CUUAGAGGUGGAUACAGUGUUGCUAUAAAUAGCCGGAUCAUUUUAUCACUGAUCAUAUCGUCAGUUUUAGUGAAUUGACUCUCAGGUUGGGAACAAUGUUUGCAAAAGGAGUCAUCAUCCUUCUCUGCGUCCUAGUGACCAUUUCUGAUGGAGCAAGAGUGCCUAAAUGCGUCCUCCAGCCUCAGAAGUGCCCAAACGCAUAUCGUCCCGUGUGUGGAACCAAUGGGAUAACAUACAUCAGUGAAUGCGCUCUGUGUGCUGCGCUCAAGGCAUCAAAGGCAGACAUCUUAAUCCAGAAAGAAGGCCGGUGUUAAAUACACAUCUGCAGGAGUGACACAGGAAUGGCACCAUAAUUCAGCUUGACAGACCUUUAUUCAGCUACUCAUGUCUCAUUCAUCAUGACCUGAAUGUGUAACGAUUUAAUCAAUAAAUAAAUGUCGCAUACUGAA